GACGAACGCUGGCGGCGUGCUUAACACAUGCAAGUCGAGCGGAAAGGCCACUUCGGUGGUACUCGAGCGGCGAACGGGUGAGUAACACGUGAGUAAUCUGCCCCUGGCUUUGGGAUAGCCACCGGAAACGGUGACUAAUACCGGAUACGACCACUUCUCGCAUGGGAUGGGGGUGGAAAGUUUUUUCGGCCAGGGAUGUGCUCGCGGCCUAUCAGCUUGAUGGUGAGGUAAUGGCUCACCAUGGCUUCGACGAGUAGCCGGCCUGAGAGGGUGACCGGUCACACUGGGACUGAGACACGGCCCAGACUCCUACGGGAGGCAGCAGUGGGGAAUAUUGGACAAUGGGCGGAAGCCUGAUCCAGCAACGCCGCGUGAGGGAUGACGGCCUUCGGGUUGUAAACCUCUUUCAGCAGGGACGAAGCGCAAGUGACGGUACCUGCAGAAGAAGCACCGGCCAACUACGUGCCAGCCGCCGCAGUAA
rnacentral:rRNA from 1 species